rnacentral:rRNA from 1 species
GCGAAUACCGGAGAAUGUUAUCACGGGAGACACACGGCGGGUGCUAACGUCCGUCGUGAAGAGGGAAACAACCCAGACCGCCAGCUAAGGUCCCAAAGUCAUGGUUAAGUGGGAAACGAUGUGGGAAGGCCCAGACAGCCAGGAUGUUGGCUUAGAAGCAGCCAUCAUUUAAAGAAAGCGUAAUAGCUCACUGGUCGAGUCGGCCUGCGCGGAAGAUGUAACGGGGCUAAACCAUGCACCGAAGCUGCGGCAGCGACGCUUAUGCGUUGUUGGGUAGGGGAGCGUUCUGUAAGCCUGCGAAGGUGGCCUGUGAGGGUUGCUGGAGGUAUCAGAAGUGCGAAUGCUGACAUAAGUAACGAUAAAGCGGGUGAAAAGCCCGCUCGCCGGAAGACCAAGGGUUCCUGUCCAACGUUAAUCGGGGCAGGGUGAGUCGACCCCUAAGGCGAGGCCGAAAGGCGUAGUCGAUGGGAAACGGGUUAAUAUUCCCGUACUUGGUGUUACUGCGAAGGGGGGACGGAGAAGGCUAUGUUGGCCGGGC